GUGAAUAAUUCGGACUGACGCAUGCUCAGCUUCUGGACGUUGUGUUGGAAAGUUUCAUGAACCUUAUCACUUAGAGGAAGGAGAAGUCGUAACAAGGUUUCCGUAGGUGAACCUGCGGAAGGAUCAUUC
rnacentral:rRNA from 1 species